GGAGCGGUAGCUCAGCGGUAGAGCAGUGGAUUGCAGAUCCAAAGGUCUCCAGUUCAAACCUGGAUCGUUCCU
rfam:Valsa mali var. pyri strain SXYL134 unplaced genomic scaffold scaffold00101, whole genome shotgun sequence.